rnacentral:rRNA from 1 species
GACCACAGCCUUAUCACCCUGCAGCCCAAGACUGGUUGCUCACUGAAGCUAGGCAGGGUUGAGCCUGGUCAGUACCUGGAUGGGAGACCUCCUGGGAAAACUAGGUUGCUGUUGGAA